rnacentral:rRNA from 1 species
UACGUAGGGGGCUAGCGUUGUCCGGAAUCAUUGGGCGUAAGCGCGUGUAGGCGGUCCGGUAAGUCCGCUGUGAAAGUCGGGGGCUCAACCCUCGAAUGCCGGUGGAUACUGUCGGGCUAGAGUGCGGAAGAGGCGAGUGGAAUUCCUGGUGUAGCGGUGAAAUGCGCAGAUAUCAGGAGGAACACCAAUUGCGAAGGCAGCUCGCUGGGACGUUACUGACGCUGAGACGCGAAAGCGUGGGGAGCAAACAGG